rnacentral:rRNA from 1 species
CCUACGGGGGGCUGCAGUGGGGAAUUGUUCGCAAUGGGCGCAAGCCUGACGACGCAACGCCGCGUGGAGGAUGAAGACUUUCGGGUCGUAAACUCCUUUCGACCGAGAUGAAUUCCCCUCGACCUAACACGUCGAGGGGGUGACAGUAUCGAGGGAAGAAGCCCCGGCUAACUCCGUGCCAGCAGCCGCGGUAAUACGGGGGGGGCAAGCGUUGUUCGGAAUUACUGGGCGUAAAGGGUUCGUAGGUGGCCUGCUAAGUCACACGUGAAAUCCCUCAGCUUAACUGGGGAACUGCGUGUGAGACUGGCGGGCUCGAGUGCAGGAGAGGAACGCGGAAUUCCAGGUGUAGCGGUGAAAUGCGUAGAUAUCUGGAGGAACACCGGUGGCGAAGGCGGCGUUCUGGACUGCAACUGACACUGAUGAACGAAAGCCAGGGGAGC